rnacentral:rRNA from 1 species
UGAACGCUGGCGGCAGGCCUAACACAUGCAAGUCGAGCGGAUGAAGGGAGCUUGCUCCUGGAUUCAGCGGCGGACGGGUGAGUAAUGCCUAGGAAUCUGCCUGGUAGUGGGGGAUAACGUCCGGAAACGGGCGCUAAUACCGCCUACGUCCUGAGGGGGAAAGUGGGGGAUCUUCGGACCCCACGCUAUCAGAUGAGCCUAGGUCGGAUUAGCUAGUUGGUGGGGUAAAGGCCUACCAAGGCGACGAUCCGUAACUGGUCUGAGAGGAUGAUCAGUCACACUGGAACUGAGACACGGUCCAGACUCCUACGGGAGGCAGCAGUGGGGAAUAUUGGACAAUGGGCGAAAGCCUGAUCCAGCCAUGCCGCGUGUGUGAAGAAGGUCUUCGGAUUGUAAAGCACUUUAAGUUGGGAGGAAGGGCAGUAAGUUAAUACCUUGCUGUUUUGACGUUACCAACAGAAUAAGCACCGGCUAACUUCGUG